GGCGUUGUUACACUCUUUCCGGCGGCUUUUAGUGUGCGCCCUCCUCCUUAGGCCAGGCCGCGCACCGCCUCCGUCGCUUGGUAACGGCCAAACUCGCGCAGGAGCUCUUGCCUCUUCUCUCCGCUGGGUGACAGUAGAAGGUCAGCGGAACGAGAGGGGCAGCGGGGGGCCGCGCGGGAGUAGCGGCCCAAGGACCGAGCCCUUCCUCCAAGAGGGAAACCCCAGAGGCUGGAACGAGAAUUGCUUAUCUUUUCCACCCCGGAUUCUAAAGUGGCGGCGUUUUCUUCGGAUUCUCUGGAGCAGCACUGUCUUCCUGCAGUGUUGGAAACGUUCUCUGUCUACACCGUUCAACAUGGCAGCCACCGGCUCCGCGUGGCUACUGCGCCCUGGAAACGUGGCUCCUGUGACUAAGGAGCUGAAUUUGAAAUUUUUAGAGAGCGAGCGAGCACAAGAAGGGGGCGCAGCAGAGGGAGAGGGAGAAGCAGGCUCCCCGCUGAGCAGGGAUCCCAACGUCGGGCUCGAUCCCAGGACCCUGGGAUCAUGACCUGAGCCGAAGGCAGCCGCUUAACCGACUGAACCACCCAGGCGCCCCUACGAUAUUACUGACUAUAUUCCCUAUGCUAUACUUUUCGUCUCUGUGACUUAUUUAUUUUAUAGCUGGAAGUCAAACAUAUUUUCAUAUGAUUGUAUGGUGGACUGCUAUAAGAGAUAUGUAUAUUUGUGUUUGGGCAUAAAACAUUUAUCUACUUUAUUAGUAAUUUCUGUAGGAAAGGGCCAAAUUGAAGUUAUUCAAAUUAUAUAUAUUGACUAGGAUAUAAACUCCACAAACCAGGGGAUUUUGUCUGUUUUGUUCACUGAUAUGUCCCAUGCCUAGAACAGUACCUAGGACAUAUUAGAUGUGCAUUAAAUAUUUUUCAAAAGAUUGUUUUGUGAACUCUUUGGGUUUAACUCAAGAAUAUUUAGAGUUUAUAUUAUUUCAGGAUUGCAUUUAUUUAUAUAAAAUUUCUAUUGUACAACCACCUGGAGAUUAUUUUAGAUUUAAAAAUUUAGAAUUUACACUGUAACAAUCAAGGUAAAUCAAUGAUAAAUUAUUCCUGAAUUUAUUAGUGUUGGCAAAAGAGUCUGUUGAUUGAAGUAAUUUUAGGGUUGAGUACAAGGAAAUAACAUCUCAGGAUCUUUCUGAAUUGCUUUAUCUUAUUUUUAACUUUGGCACUUAACAAAUUUUUUAAAAUAGUUACUUUUCACAUGUAUCAUAUGAUCUCACUGAUAUGAGGAAUUCUUAAUCGCAGGAAACAAACUGAGUGUUGUUGGAGUGGGGGGUGGGGUGGGAGGGAUGGGGUGACUGGGUGAUGGACACUGGGGAGGGUAUGUGCUCUGGUAAGCGCUGUGAAUUGUGCAAGACUGUUGAAUCUCAGAUCUGUACCUCUGAAACAAAUAAUGCAAUAUAUGUUAAGAAAAAAAAGAAGAAGAAGAAGGUAGCAGG